GACGUAGGGCGCGAGCGUUGUCCGGAUUUAUUGGGCGUAAAGAGCUCGUAGGCGGCUUGUCGCGUCGUUCGUGAAAACCUGCAGCUCAACUGCAGGCUUGCGGUCGAUACGGGCAGGCUAGAGUUCGGUAGGGGAGACUGGAAUUCCUGGUGUAGCGGUGAAGUGCGCAGAUAUCAGGAGGAACACCAGCGGCGAAGGCGGCAUCCUGGACUGGUCCUGACACUCAGGAGCGAAAGCGUGGGGAGCGAUCCGG
rnacentral:rRNA from 1 species